UGUGAGUCAGGGCUGAGCGCUCACAUGGAGGCCCGACUGAACAGGGGUGACUUCCACAUUCACUCUGGGUGCUGGCAGAAUUCAACGUCUUUGUGGAUGUAGGAUUCACUGGGUCAAGCAUCUCGCUGCUGGGUUCAUGCCACACACACCGCCAUCCAACUCAGAGCUGCGUCCAUGCUAGGUAAGUGCUCUGCCACUGAACUUGCUUCAUGAUCCCCCCCCCCCCCAGGAAACGUUAAAAACAAAAAACAUUUGUUCAGCUGGGCUUGAUGGCUCACACCUAAAAUUCCAGGGCUCGAAAAGCUGAGGUAGGACUGGGAAUUUCCAGGACAAUUUGCUGUGCUCUGGUAAGACCCUGUCUCCAAAACAAAAAACAACAAACAAGGAAACCGGCUAUAGCCAUAGUGGUCCUAGCACUGAGGAGGUGGAGGCCAGGGGAUCUGGAGCCUCUUUUCUGCAGUCUGGCACAUAGAACAGCCAAGUGGUGUCCUACUCCAGCCAGGACGAAAGGCCAGUGCUACAACUCUAUUCACCCUGCAGCAUCCUUCUUCCAAGCCGGUGACUGGACCCCGACCUGGGACUACAGCAUUUCUAGUACCCAGGGAGGCCAGAAGAGGGCAUCCGAUCCUUUGAAACUGGAGUUACAGAGAGUUGUGAACUGUCACAUGGGUGCUGAGCAUCAAACCCGGGUCCUUGGUGUGAGCAACAAAUACUCACUGCUGAGUCAUUUCUCCAGCACCUCCACAGGGCUUCUCAAAAAUUCCAAGAGGAAUGGAGAGCUGUGGAAGAGAGAGAGGGGAGACACAAUCCAACACACAUUGCCAGUCACUGACACCAGAGAUGAAUGGCCCCUUCCAGAACCAUCCAGAAGACAAGGAGUCGAUGCCAAGGCAGGUGGGCCCCACAGGCAGCUGGGAGCUCUGUGAGAGUAAGCUUGAUUCAGCAUUGGGCACCAAGGGGAAACAUGAGAAUAAAUUACUUGAUGGAUCAAUAAAAAGCCAGGUGUCUUGUCCACACCAAGAACCAGAUCCCUGACAGUCUAGUCUGUCUUCUACUAUGCCCACCCACACAGAAUUCCCCUUGACAACCUUGAGAUCCACCCAGGAGAUGGCAUAAGUUCCUGGGGAUAGCAACCCUUGCCUCAACUUGGCAAGCACCAGCCUUGGCUAGAAGGCUGGGUACACAGUGUGCCCUGCCUGUGGGCUGAGGCGGGAGCAGGGUGGGGCCCAGUACUCACUAUUUGGAUGACUGUGCAUUUCCAGUCCAACUGUGCUUUCUCUAGUUGGAGCUGAAUCUCUCAUAUCCAGCACAUUCCACCAGAUGCAGUGUGGCUGCUGGGGGCUCUAACCUUGCGCUCACCCUGCAGACCCGGGGCUUCUGUUGAGCUGGAGAAUCAGAGUUGGGUCUGUAGAACCCUCUAGUGAAUGUCGGGAUGGAGAAGAAGACAGGAGAGACAGGUUGACUUGUGGCCAGCAGAUUCAAAACUGACUCCAAGAGCCCCCUUUACCAGGACUAUAUAACCUUAAGCAAGCUGUACCCCUUUCCUUCUCCCUGCCUGCCUGCCUUCUUUCCAUGUAUGUACACUGUACAUGCUCAUGUGGGGAUGGGCAUACGUGUGAGGGGGGGAUAUGUGUGUAUGGAGGAGGCCAGAGAUGCUACAAUUUUUAAAAUUUUUUUUUUUUGUGUGUGUGUGUGUGUGUGUGUGUGUGUGUGCGCGCGCGUGCGCGCGCGCCAGCAGAGCCCAGAAGAGCCUUGAUCCCCAGGAGCAGAGUUAUAUGUUGUUGUGAGCCGCCUGACUCAGGUACUGGAAACUGAACUCAGGUCCUCUGGAAGAGUAGCAAGUGCUCUUAACUGCUGAGCCAUCUCUCCAUCCCCUCUAUCCUUCCAGCCCCUCCAUGAUAGUUUUUGAGGCUGAGUCUCUUCCUGGACCUGGAGCCCACCACCUGGCUUGACUAGUGGGCUAGCUAGCUUCUCCGGUGCUGGAAUUGGAGCCAACUCAGCUCUCACAGAGCUUGGGUACCUUCUAGAAACUUCCUGGAUCUGUUGGAUGCCUGAGGACCAUCCCCGUCAGUCAAACCUUGGCUGGCCCUGAUAUAAAUUCCCAGAAGUGUGCUCCACGAGGAAGGGGUUCUCCUCCCCAGGAUUUUCAGACUCCAGACUUGCAGCUCAUUGUUAUAUCUACCACAAGCUGGUGGGAGAGCCGGCACCUGGCCACCAUGAACCAUAACCAACAACUGUGGGUCAUUUUUAGAGCUGAAGAGAUGACGCAGUCAAUAAAGCAUUUGACGGGUUGGAGAGAUGGCUGAGUGGUUAAGAGCACUGGGUUGCUCUUCCAGAGGACCCAGGUUCGAUUCCCGGCAGCC